CCUACGGGAGGCAGCAGUGAGGAAUAUUGGACAAUGGGCGCAAGCCUGAUCCAGCCAUGCCGCGUGCAGGAUGACGGUCCUAUGGAUUGUAAACUGCUUUUAUACGAGAAGAAACACUCCGACGUGUCGGAGCUUGACGGUAUCGUAAGAAUAAGGAUCGGCUAACUCCGUGCCAGCAGCCGCGGUAAUACGGAGGAUCCAAGCGUUAUCCGGAAUCAUUGGGUUUAAAGGGUCCGUAGGCGGUUUAAUAAGUCAGUGGUGAAAGCCCAUCGCUCAACGGUGGAACGGCCAUUGAUACUGUUAAACUUGAAUUAUUAGGAAGUAACUAGAAUAUGUAGUGUAGCGGUGAAAUGCUUAGAGAUUACAUGGAAUACCAAUUGCGAAGGCAGGUUACUACUAAUUGAUUGACGCUGAUGGACGAAAGCGUGGGUAGCGAACAGGAUUAGAUACCCUGGUAGUCCACGCCGUAAACGAUGGAUACUAGCUGUUGGGAGCAAUCUCAGUGGCUAAGCGAAAGUGAUAAGUAUCCCACCUGGGGAGUACGUUCGCAGAAUGAAACUCAAAUGAAUUGACGG
rnacentral:rRNA from 1 species